rnacentral:sRNA from 1 species
CUUGCUGUCAAGUUCAGAAGCCUUCUGGCAGACACUGGAGCCACGAUGAAGCCCCCAAGGCCUGUCUGUACCUGCAGCAAAGUUCUGGUCCUGCUUUCACUGCUGGCCAUCCACCAGACCACCACUGCCGAAAAGAAUGGCGUCGACAUCUACAGCCUCACCGUGGACUCCAGGGUCUCAUCCCGAUUUGCCCACACGGUCGUCACCAGCCGAGUGGUCAAUAGGGCCCAUACUGUGCAGGAGGCCACCUUCCAGAUGGAGCUGCCCAAGAAAGCCUUCAUCACCAACUUCUCCAUGAUCAUCGAUGGCAUGACCUACCCAGGGAUCAUCAAGGAGAAGGCCGAAGCCCAGGCACAGUACAGCACAGCAGUGGCCAAGGGAAAGAGCGCUGGCCUCGUCAAGGCCACCGGGAGAAACAUGGAGCAGUUCCAGGUGUCAGUCAGUGUGGCUCCCAAUGCCAAGAUCACCUUUGAGCUGGUCUAUGAGGAGCUGCUCAAGCGGUGUUUGGGGGUGUACGAGCUGCUGCUGAAAGUGCGGCCCCAGCAGCUGGUCAAGCACCUGCAGAUGGACAUUCACAUCUUCGAGCCCCAGGGCAUCAGCUUCCUGGAGACAGAGAGCACCUUCAUGACCAACCAGUUGGUAGACGCCUUCACCACCUGGCAGAAUAAGACCAAGGCUCACAUCCGGUUCAAGCCAACACUUUCCCAGCAGCAAAAGUCCCCAGAGCAGCAAGAAACAGUCCUGGACGGCAACCUCAUUAUUCGCUAUGAUGUGGACCGGGCCAUCUCCGGGGGCUCCAUUCAGAUCGAGAACGGCUACUUUGUACACUACUUUGCCCCCGAGGGCCUAACCACAAUGCCCAAGAAUGUGGUCUUUGUCAUUGACAAGAGCGGCUCCAUGAGUGGCAGGAAAAUCCAGCAGACCCGGGAAGCCCUAAUCAAGAUCCUGGAUGACCUCAGCCCCAGAGACCAGUUCAACCUCAUCGUCUUCAGUACAGAAGCAACUCAGUGGAGGCCAUCACUGGUGCCAGCCUCAGCCGAGAACGUGAACAAGGCCAGGAGCUUUGCUGCCGGCAUCCAGGCCCUGGGAGGGACCAACAUCAAUGAUGCAAUGCUGAUGGCUGUGCAGUUGCUGGACAGCAGCAACCAGGAGGAGCGGCUGCCCGACGGGAGUGUCUCACUCAUCAUCCUGCUCACCGAUGGCGACCCCACUGUGGGGGAGACUAACCCCAGGAGCAUCCAGAAGAACGUGCGGGAAGCUGUAAGUGGCCGGUACAGCCUCUUCUGCCUGGGCUUCGGCUUCGACGUCAGCUAUGCCUUCCUGGAGAAGCUGGCACUGGACAACGGCGGCCUGGCUCGGCGUAUCCAUGAGGACUCAGACUCCGCCCUGCAGCUCCAGGACUUCUACCAGGAAGUGGCCAACCCACUGCUGACAGCAGUGACCUUCGAGUACCCAAGCAAUGCCGUGGAGGAGGUCACUCAAAACAACUUCCGGCUCCUCUUCAAGGGCUCAGAGAUGGUGGUGGCUGGGAAGCUCCAGGACCAGGGGCCUGAUGUGCUCACAGCCACAGUCAGUGGGAAGCUGCCUACACAGAACAUCACUUUCCAAACGGAGUCCAGCGUGGCAGAGCAGGAGGCGGAGUUCCAGAGUCCCAAGUAUAUCUUCCACAACUUCAUGGAGAGGCUCUGGGCAUACCUGACUAUCCAGCAGCUGCUGGAGCAAACUGUCUCCGCAUCCGAUGCUGAUCAGCAGGCCCUCCGGACCCAAGCGCUGAAUUUAUCACUUGCCUACAGCUUUGUCACGCCUCUCACAUCUAUGGUAGUCACCAAACCCGAAGACCAAGAGCAGUCUCAAGUUGCUGAGAAGCCCGUGGAAGGCGAAAGUAGAAACAGGAAUGUCCACUCAGGUUCCACUUUCUUCAAAUAUUAUCUCCAGGGAGCAAAAAUACCAAAACCAGGUGACAAAGUAGGAGGUGUGGGGAGGGGAGAUUAACAGAUUGGGCUCAGUCCUGGCUGUGGAGGGUAGUGCCUUGCCCAGCUCCUCUGGCUGGUGACAGCCCUCGGGCCUCAGUUCAGUUGUAUCUGAUCAGGACUUGACCACACAGAAGCUUCCUUUUCUCCAAGAAGAGGAUGGAGUAGACAAGCUGGAGCUGCUGGCUCCCGGAUGAAUUUCAGACCUGGGGUUCUCAGCCCUGGGCAACUUGGACUCCCAGGACCUCCUGAUGCUCCUGACCGUGCUGCUUUCCACCCCUUCCGCCGUCUGGCCAUCUUGCCUGCUUCAGCACCACCAGCCACCUCAAAUCCUGAUCCAGCUGUGUCUCAUGUCAUGAAUACCAAAAUCGAAGAAACAACCAUGACAGCCCAAAGCCCAGCCCCCAUACAGGCUCCCUCUGCCAUCCUGCCACUGCCUGGGCAGAGCGUGGAGCGGCUCUGUGUGGACCCCAGACACCGCCAGGGGCCAGUGAACCUGCUCUCAGACCCUGAGCAAGGGGUUGAGGUGACUGGCCAGUAUGAGAGGGAGAAGGCUGGGUUCUCAUGGAUCGAAGUGACCUUCAAGAACCCCCCAGUACGGGUUCACGCAUCGCCUGAACACGUGGUGGUGACUCGGAACCGAAGAAGCUCUGCGUACAAGUGGAAGGAGACGCUGUUCUCAGUGAUGCCCGGCCUGAAGAUAACCAUGGACAAGACGGGUCUCCUGCUGCUCAGUGACCCAGACAAAGUGACCAUCGGCCUGUUGUUCUGGGAUGGCCGUGGGGAGGGGCUCCGGCUCCUUCUGCGUGACACUGACCGCUUCUCCAGCCAUGUUGGAGGGACCCUUGGCCAGUUUUACCAGGAGGUGCUGUGGGGAUCUCCAGCAGCAUCAGAUGAUGGCAAACGCACGCUGAGGGUUCAGGGCAAUGACCACUCUGCCACCAGAGAGCGCAGGCUGGAUUACCAGGAGGGGCCCCCGGGAGUGGAGAUUUCCUGCUGGUCUGUGGAGCUGUAGUUCUAAUGGAAGGAGCUGUGCCCACCCUGUACACUUGGCUGCCCCCUGCAACUGCAGGGCCGCUUCUGGGGCCUGGACCACCAUGGGGAGGAAGAGUCCCACUCAUUA